rnacentral:rRNA from 1 species
CACGCAGGCGGAUUGAUAAGUCAGGGGUGAAAUCCCGGAGCUCAACUUCGGAAUUGCCUUUGAUACUGUCUGUCUUCGAGUUCGGGAGAGGUUGGCGGAAUUCCUAGUGUAGAGGUGAAAUUCGUAGAUAUUAGGAAGAACACCAGUGGCGAAGGCGGCCAACUGGCCCGAUACUGACGCUCAUGUGCGAAAGCGUGGGGAGCAAACAGGAUUAGAUACCCUGGUAGUCCACGCUGUAAACUAUGGAUGCUAGCCGUUGGGGAGCUUGCUCUUCAGUGGCGCAGCUAACGUCUUAAGCAUCCCGCCUGGGGAGUACGGUCGCAAGAUUAAA